GGGCAUGUAUCUAAAUUGGUAUAGUGUUUAAUUGUCAAUUAAAAAGUUCUUAGUUCGAAUCUAAGCAUGCUCG